rnacentral:rRNA from 1 species
UACAGAGGUCUCAAGCGUUGUUCGGAUUCAUUGGGCGUAAAGGGUGCGUAGGCGGCGCGGUAAGUCGGGUGUGAAAUCUCGGAGCUUAACUCCGAAACUGCAUUCGAUACUGCCGUGCUUGAGGACUGGAGAGGAGACUGGAAUUUACGGUGUAGCGGUGAAAUGCGUAGAGAUCGGGAGGAACACCAGUGGCGAAGGCGGCCUUCUGGACCAGCACUGACACUCAAGCACGAAAGCGUGGGGAGCAAACAGG